rnacentral:rRNA from 1 species
UACGUAGGGGGCAAGCGUUGUCCGGAUUUAUUGGGCGUAAAGAGCGUGUAGGCGGUUUGGUAGGUCCGUUGUGAAAACUCGAGGCUCAACCUCGAGACGCCGAUGGAAACCAUCAGACUAGAGUCCGGAAGAGGAGAGUGGAAUUCCGUGGUGUAGCGGUGAAAUGCGGCAGAUAUCAGGAAGAACACCCGUGGCGAAGGCGGCUCUCUGGGACGGUACUGACGCUGAGACGCGAAAGCGUGGGGAGCGAACAGG